rnacentral:rRNA from 1 species
UACGUAGGGGGCAAGCGUUGUCCGGAAUCAUUGGGCGUAAAGCGCGCGUAGGCGGCCUCAUAAGUCCGCUGUAAAAGUCAAAGGCUCAACCUUUGAAUGCCGGUGGAUACUGUGAGGCUAGAGUCCGGAAGGGGCGAGUGGAACUCCUGGUGUAGCGGUGGAAUGCGCAGAUAUCAGGAAGAACACCAACGGCGAAGGCAGCUCGCUGGGACGGUACUGACGCUGAGGCGCGAAAGCGUGGGGAGCAAACAGG